rnacentral:rRNA from 1 species
GACAGAGGGUGCAAACGUUGUUCGGAAUUACUGGGCGUAAAGCGUGUGUAGGCGGUUUCCUAAGUCAGGUGUGAAAGCCCCGGGCUCAACCCGGGAAGUGCACUUGAAACUGGGAGGCUAGAGUAUCGGAGAGGUUGGUGGAAUUCUCGGUGUAGAGGUGAAAUUCGUAGAUAUCGAGAGGAACACCGGUGGCGAAGGCGGCCUGCUGGGCAGUUACUGACACUGAUGCGCGACAGCGUGGGGAGCAAACAGG